rnacentral:lncRNA from 1 species
CAGAUAAAACAGAGGCUGCAUGGGCUGAGUCAAUGCUUUUAAGCAGUCCACGCACGCGGCCAUACACCUACACAGGUUGUUCAGUCUUUGCACUCUAAAACAGAGAGUAAGAGUCGAUGACUCCUCUCCUCUGGUUUGUCUCUUUCUUCCUUUUGCAUGAGCAAGUUCUCUGCUCCGUCGUGCCACCUUCAAUCCAGUGUUAGUCCUGCGGGCCCAGUUAAUCCCUGGUUAAACCGAGCUGCGGUGAACCGCUGAAAUCUAACUAGUUGGCUGUCAUUAGUCGUAAAACCCUCGUGUUCUGAUCCAGAUUACAGCGGGAUUAAUGUGGAUGAACUCAAGCUGAGUGUUAGAGCGGGUUUAACUUUCUCAACCUCUCCCCUUGAAAGGCUGAUGCAGUUGAAAAGAAGCUGAAGAAGGAGAAGGAGGAGGUGGAACUUCUCAAUCAGCAGCUGAAAGAAUCCAAGGAUGAGCUCAAAGAGGCCAAUUUGCACAACCAGGAGCAGAAAGAAACGGCUGCGAUUUUUAAGCAGAAAUACGCCGCAGCAAUAGAGAAGGCGCUCAGGGUGCAAGAGCAUGUGGAACGUCUGGAGGAGGAACUACGAUAUUCACAGGAACAGCUAAGAGAGUCGCAGUUAGCAGCUUCUUCGCUGAAGGAAGAGCUAGCUGAGCUGGAGUGCCGGUAUCAGGAAAAGGUUGGCCAGUGGGAGAGUUCACAGGAGGCUCUUGACCAACUAACAGAUGAACUUCAGGCCAGUCACAACCUGCUAAGAGAGAGCGAACAAAAAGUGGAGCACUUCAAAAACCUGAUGAGAUCUCUUCAGGAGCAGAUGGACACACUCAAUCAGCAGAAGCUUGCUGUGGAGUGUGACCUGCAGCUCUAUCGUCGGAGCCAUUCUCAUUCUGAUGAGGACUAUUUGAAUCUAGGAAGACUCAGACAGCAGCUGCAGAAGCGCUGUGCAGCACAGGUUGAACACCUUGCGGUGUGUGAAAACACUAUUCUUCAGAUGAAGUCAGAGCUGGAGAGACAAGUCCAGGAAAAGGUGGGUCUGAAACAAAGUCUCGCUGCUUCCCAGCAAACUCACCGGAGCAAUCAAAAACAGCUGGAACAGGAAGUGAUUCGUACAAAACAGGAAGUGGCAUCCUUAGAGCUUGAACUGGCGAACACCCAAAAGGUGCAGGUGGCACUCCUCAGGCAGUCAGAUGAGGCCAGACAAGAGUCUGCAAGAAAGAGCCGAGAGGUGGAUGUGGAGAGAAGAAAGGCCCAGAUGCUUCAGGAGGCGUUACACAAGGAGCAGGAGAAGCUGCAGAGUGCUAUCAGAGAGAAUGAGACCCUGAGCACUGUCAUCGGAAAGCUGAGGAAAGAGCUGGAGGAGCUGCGCAGCAGUCACCGAGUGACAGUGGAGGAGUUGGCAGCCCGUGCAGAGGAGGUGAGGCGGAUGGAGGGGUGUCUGAAUGAAGGCAAGCUAGCAGAGGAGAAAAUAAGGUCAAUGGCUGCGGGGCUGAAGAAGGAGCUGACAGAGGCUGUCCAUCAGAAACUCACAGCAGAGAGAGAGAAACAGGAUGCACUGGACCAGGUGAUCACGCUCCGGUCAGAGCUGGAGGGGACGCGGUCCGACAAUGCAAAGCUUCUGCACGAGAGCCAGCUGGUCAUGACUAAUGUCAACCUUUGGAUCACUGAGCAAAAGGCUUCCAGUGAGAGCGUUAUUGCCCAGAUUAAAGCCCAAAACAAAGCUCUGCUCAUCAUCACUAAAGAGAAAGAAUGUCUUCAGGAGGCUAAUGACACACUGAAGGCGGAGGUAAAGAGACUGAAAGAAGCGGUGGAUGAGAAGGAGAAAGACAUGGAACUCUUCAAGGCCCGUCUCCGGGACUGGGGAGUACAGCAAGAAAGGAAAACCAUGGAAAAGAAGGGGUGCGUUGCUCUAAACCUCAGCAAAAUCGAGGACAUGCAGACCAGACUGCAAAGCAACCUGGAGGCCAUCGGAAUGCUAAAUCAACAAUUAGGCAAUCUCAGUCAGGAGAAUAAGCAGUUGCGUAGGCAGCUGGAAGAAGAGAGGUCCAUGCAUAGACAAGUGGAGAGGAGUGGGCCCCUUCCUCCUCCCUCUACAACCGCCAUCCACCUCCCACUCUCUCUCAGUGUCAGCCCUCCUAUCUGUGCCUCCCUUCCCUCAUCCCAGGGCCUGCCUCGUCUUCUGAGCAUAGUCCCAGUGACAGGGGACACUAAUGGGACUCAAACCAAGCCGAGUACAGUCGGAGUAGAGAGACCAGCUGAUGGUCUGACAGAAAUAGAAGGGGCGUCAAGAGUCACCACGGCAGACAGAUCGCUUCAGGCUGUGGCACACACCACCUGAACUGCCUGCGCAUGUAUGCUUGUGUGUAUGUGUGUGUGUAUGUGUGUGUGAGCAUGCAUGAUUUUGUUGUACAGCCAUUAAAGCAUACUAUCAAUCAAAAAACAUCAUUAAAGUUUGUAUUUUAAAUAAAUGAUUUUAUUAAAACAUAAUUACUGAAGCACUGGUGUAAUAUAUAUUAUUUCCAGUAAAGGACAGGAGGGUGUGCGCUCGCCACACAUCAUGGUCCAGCUAAUUCUGGGAGAUUACAUUUGGGUCAUUUUGAAACAGCUCUCUUGUGGUAGUUUUGUAGCAGAAUAAUUUAUCAAAACAUUUUAUGCUGUCCCCCAAUUGAUUGUGACCAGCACUAAAAGAUGCAAUACUUAGGCAUGCAGUAUGCAUGAAAUUAUGCUAAUGCAUAACACUAGCGUUCAUAUGCAUCUGCAUAUUGAUAUAUACAGUAUCUUUUACCUGAUUACAUUAAAUCUAAUAAGUGUAGACAAACACCGAGUGAUUCAAAAUAGACAUAAAAUACAGAGCACCUGCCUUUUCCUUAUUGCGCUUUUUAAUAUAAUAAAGUAUAUAUGUGAUAUAUAGUAUA